rnacentral:rRNA from 1 species
CUGCUGAACGGGGUUUUUGCCAUGCUGAUUGUCUUCCUGUGGGUCAUGACCUUGCAUGGUGCCGGUCUCCCGGGUGCCACACCCUAUUGGCAUAGCCAUGAAAUGUUGAUCGGGUUUGCCAUGGCCGCAGUCGCCGGGUUCAGCCUCACGGCCGUGGCCAACUGGACCGGCCGCCCUGCCGUAAAGGGCACGCCACUGGCGUUACUGUUAAUCUGCUGGUUAGCAGGAAGGCUGGCAAUGUCGCCGUCACCAUGGCUUCCCGCCGGUCUCGUGUUUUUUCUGGAUAUGUUAUUCCCGCUUUUGCUCGGCUUUUUACUGAGCCGCGAAAUCAUAGCCGGUCGCAGCCGGCGGAAUUACCCGCUCAUUGCCAUUAUAUUCACCAUUGCAGGUCUGAAUGCCUUGUAUCAACUCGGUGCCGGU